rnacentral:rRNA from 1 species
UACGUAGGGUGCGAGCGUUGUCCGGAAUUAUUGGGCGUAAAGAGCUUGUAGGCGGUUUGUCGCGUCUGCCGUGAAAAUCCGGGGCUCAACCCCGGACUUGCGGUGGGUACGGGCAGACUAGAGUGUGGUAGGGGAGACUGGAAUUCCUGGUGUAGCGGUGAAAUGCGCAGAUAUCAGGAGGAACACCGGUGGCGAAGGCGGGAUCCUGGGCCAGUACUGACGCUGAGGAGCGAAAGCGUGGGGAGCAAACAGG